GCGCUUAACACAUGCAAGUCGCACGAGAAAGUGGAGCAAUCCAUGAGUACAGUGGCGAACGGGUGAGUAACACGUGGGUAAUCUACCUCUUAGUGGGGAAUAACCCUGGGAAACCGGGGCUAAUACCGCAUAAGCCUGAGAAGGGAAAGCAGCAAUGCGCUGAGAGAGGAGCCCGCGGCCGAUUAGCUAGUUGGUGGGGUAAGAGCCCACCAAGGCAGAGAUCGGUAGCCGGCCUGAGAGGGCACACGGCCACACUGGCACUGAAACACGGGCCAG
rnacentral:rRNA from 1 species